AUGCGCAACACAACGACCCACCCCUCAUACACACACAUACAACUCCCCCCCACAGAUACACUCAGACACCCCCACCCCACACAUACACACUCAUACACCCCCUCACAUAUACACACUCAUACACCCCCCCCACACUACACACUCAUACACCCCCCACAUAUACACACCAUACACCCCCCCUCACAAUACACCCCAUACACCCCCCCACAACACACUCAACACCCCCACACACAUAUAUACACUCAUACACCCCCCCACACACAAUACACUCAUACACCCCCCCACAUUUACACACUCAUACACCCCCUCACACACACAUACACAUUCUACACUCAUACACCCCUCACCAUACACACUCAUACACCCCCCACCCACACUCAUACACCCCCCGACACACACACAUAUACACUCAAUCUACCCCCCCACAUUUACACAACCAUACACCCCCCGACACACACACCACAUACACUCAUAACACCCCCCCCAACAUUACACACUCAUACACCCCCCCACACAUACACACUCAACACCCCCCCACACAUUACACACCAUACACCCCCCCACAUUUACACACUCAUACACCCCCCCCACCCAUACCACACUCAUACACCCCCCCACACACAUCAUACACCCCCCGACACACACACUACACAUAUACACUCAUACACCCCCCCACAUUUACACACUCAUACACCCCCCCACCACAUACACACUCAUACACCCCCCCACACAUACACACUCAUACACUCCCCCCACACAUACACACUCAUACACCUCCCCCCACACAUACACACUCAUACCCCCCCCACACAUACACACUCAUACACCCCCCACACACAUCUAUACACCUACCCGACACAUACACACUCAUACACCUCCCCACACAUACACACUCAUACACCUCCCCACACAUACACACUCAUACACCUCCCACACUACACACUCUACACCCCCCCAACACAUACACACUCAUCCCCCCCACAUAACACUCAUACACCCUCCCACAUACAUACACACUCAUACACCCCCCCCCCCACACACUACACACUCAUACACACCCCCACCACAUACCCACACUCAUACCUCCCCCACACACACCUCACACAUAUACACCUCCCAACAACAUACACACCUCCUACACCCCCCACACACAUACACACUCAUACACCCCCCCCCCCCACACACAUACACACUCAUACAUCCCCCCACAUAUACACACUCAUACACCCCCCCACACACACAACACUCAUACACCCCCCCACACAUACACACUCAUACACCCCCCCCACACACUACACACUCAUACACCCCCCACACACACACAUACACAUAUACACUCAUACACCCCCCCACACAUACCACUCAUACACCCCCCACAUAUACACACUCAUACACUCUCCCACAUAUACAUACUCAUACACAUAUAUACUCAUACACCCUCCCACACAUCACCUACAACUCAAUAUAACAAAUACAACAAUACUACAAACCCACUAA
rnacentral:lncRNA from 1 species